GAUAAUGAAUGGUGCUCCACCUGCUAAAACAGAAAAAGAGAAGACUGCUCAUCAAACACAAGUGGCCCAGGAAGUCUCCAGUUGAACACUUUGUGCACCAGCUGCAAAGAGGAGGGUCCCAAGAGAAUUCAAAUGAUAAACACAGCCCCAAAACAAUAAAUUGUAAAAUGUACAAUUUA